rnacentral:ncRNA from 2 species
GAUAGUCUUUGAGGCAAGGUGAGAAAGCGGCGCUUUCAAUUCCUGACCGGCGGUGACAGUCCGCUAACCCGCAAGGGUUGAACCGAUGCAAUUUCGGUACCGACAGUACAGUCUGGAUGGGAAAAGACGACA